rnacentral:rRNA from 2 species
GCAGUCGAACGAACUUCCGUUAAUUGAUUAUGACGUACUUGUACUGAUUGAGAUUUUAACACGAAGUGAGUGGCGAACGGGUGAGUAACACGUGGGUAACCUGCCCAGAAGUAGGGGAUAACACCUGGAAACAGAUGCUAAUACCGUAUAACAGAGAAAACCGCAUGGUUUUCUUUUAAAAGAUGGCUCUGCUAUCACUUCUGGAUGGACCCGCGGCGUAUUAGCUAGUUGGUGAGGUAAAGGCUCACCAAGGCAGUGAUACGUAGCCGACCUGAGAGGGUAAUCGGCCACAUUGGGACUGAGACACGGCCCAGACUCCUACGGGAGGCAGCAGUAGGGAAUCUUCCACAAUGGACGCAAGUCUGAUGGAGCAACGCCGCGUGAGUGAAGAAGGGUUUCGGCUCGUAAAGCUCUGUUGUUAAAGAAGAACGUGGGUAAGAGUAACUGUUUACCCAGUGACGGUAUUUAACCAGAAAGCCACGGCUAACUACGUGCCAGCAGCCGCGGUAAUACGUAGGUGGCAAGCGUUAUCCGGAUUUAUUGGGCGUAAAGCGAGCGCAGGCGGUCUUUUAAGUCUAAUGUGAAAGCCUUCGGCUCAACCGAAGAAGUGCAUUGGAAACUGGGAGACUUGAGUGCAGAAGAGGACAGUGGAACUCCAUGUGUAGCGGUGAAAUGCGUAGAUAUAUGGAAGAACACCAGUGGCGAAGGCGGCUGUCUGGUCUGCAACUGACGCUGAGGCUCGAAAGCAUGGGUAGCGAACAGGAUUAGAUACCCUGGUAGUCCAUGCCGUAAACGAUGAUUACUAAGUGUUGGAGGGUUUCCGCCCUUCAGUGCUGCAGCUAACGCAUUAAGUAAUCCGCCUGGGGAGUACGACCGCAAGGUUGAAACUCAAAAGAAUUGACGGGGGCCCGCACAAGCGGUGGAGCAUGUGGUUUAAUUCGAAGCUACGCGAAGAACCUUACCAGGUCUUGACAUCUUCUGACAGUCUAAGAGAUUAGAGGUUCCCUUCGGGGACAGAAUGACAGGUGGUGCAUGGUUGUCGUCAGCUCGUGUCGUGAGAUGUUGGGUUAAGUCCCGCAACGAGCGCAACCCUUAUUACUAGUUGCCAGCAUUAAGUUGGGCACUCUAGUGAGACUGCCGGUGACAAACCGGAGGAAGGUGGGGACGACGUCAAAUCAUCAUGCCCCUUAUGACCUGGGCUACACACGUGCUACAAUGGAUGGUACAACGAGUCGCGAGACCGCGAGGUUAAGCUAAUCUCUUAAAACCAUUCUCAGUUCGGACUGUAGGCUGCAACUCGCCUACACGAAGUCGGAAUCGCUAGUAAUCGCGGAUCAGCAUGCCGCGGUGAAUACGUUCCCGGGCCUUGUACACACCGCCCGUCACACCAUGAGAGUUUGUAACACCCAAAGCCGGUGGGGUAA